rnacentral:tRNA from 1 species
GGGAGAGUAGUUCUGUGGUAGAGCACGUGCUUAGCAUGAGCAAGUCUUGGGUUCAAUCACCAGCUAUUCCC